AUGUUGUACAUCAUGCAGAUAGCUCAGAAGAAGAAGCAGGAAUGUUUGACUGGAAAUAUAAACGAUGUUGUACAUAAUGCAGAUAGCUCAGGCAAAAAAGAGAUUGGUAAAAUGGAGAAUGAGACUAACUAGGGUGAAAAAAAUGAAUAUUAAUAUGUGAAUGGUACUUUGUUUAACAUCUACCUGUUUAUACAGAUACAGUACAGACGCAUUUAUAAAUA